rnacentral:rRNA from 1 species
AGCAGUAGCCACGGUAAUACAGAGGGUGCGAGCGUUAAUCGGAUUUACUGGGCGUAAAGCGUGCGUAGGCGGCUUUUUAAGUCGGAUGUGAAAUCCCUGAGCUUAACUUAGGAAUUGCAUUCGAUACUGGGAAGCUAGAGUAUGGGAGAGGAUGGUAGAAUUCCAGGUGUAGCAGUGAAAUGCGUAGAGAUCGGAAGGAACAUCUGUGGCGAAGGCGACUAUCUGGGCCAACACUGACACUGAGGCACGAAAGCGUGGGGAGCAAACAGGAUUAGAUACCCGAGUAGUCCCUGUCUCUUAUAC